rnacentral:rRNA from 1 species
CUCGUGGCCUACAGAGCUAAGGAGUGUGGAACAAAGAUGAACAGAAUCCUUAGAUGGAAGUGAAAAGAUUUUGAAAUCUAAUACUCUCAACCGACCGAAGUAUUUAAAAUAUGACGGUGUGCCUUUUGUAUCAUGCAUUAGCGACUUUAAAUUUACAGCAAGCUUAAAUUGUUAAAUGUAAGCGUAGUUAAAGCAAGUGUU